rnacentral:lncRNA from 1 species
CGCGGGAUUAAAGGCCACCCCGGCGGGCGGGGAUCGGACUGUAGCCGGUACCGGCACCGGAGCGCGCCGGGUCCUCGCCGGGUCCCAGCCCCGCGCGUCGGCCCAGCCCAGCCGGGACCCCCCGCGACAUGCGCGUCCCAGCCCUGCGCUGAGCAGGCGGCAAUGUGGGGACUCGGGGCCCGGGGCCCCGACCGGGGGCUGCUGGCGCUGGCGCUGGCGCUGGGCGGGGUGGCGCGGGCCGGGGGCGUCGAGGUGGAGCCCGGCGGCGCGCACGGCGAGAGCGGGGGCUUCCAGGUGGUCACCUUCAAGUGGGCCCACGUGCAGGAUCCCUACGUCAUCGCGCUCUGGAUCCUCGUGGCCAGCUUGGCCAAGAUCGUGAAAAGUGGGACUGGUAUUUG